AAACCAACAGGGAUUACCUCAGUAACGGCGAGUGAAGCGGUAACAGCUCAAAUUUGAAAUCUGGCUCUUUCAGGGUCCGAGUUGUAAUUUGUAGAAGAUGCUUUGGGUGUGGCCCUGGUCUAAGUUCCUUGGAACAGGACGUCAUAGAGGGUGAGAAUCCCGUAUGUGACUAGGUGCUUUCGCCCGUGUAAAGCUCUUUCGACGAGUCGAGUUGUUUGGGAAUGCAGCUCAAAAUGGGUGGUAAAUUUCAUCUAAAGCUAAAUAUUGGCCAGAGACCGAUAGCGCACAAGUAGAGUGAUCGAAAGAUGAAAAGCACUUUGGAAAGAGAGUUAAACAGUACGUGAAAUUGUUGAAAGGGAAGCGCUUGCAACCAGACUUAGUUGCGGCCGAUCAUCUAGGGUUCUCCCUGGUGCACUCGGUCGUAACUAGGCCAGCAUCGGUUUGGGUGGUGGGAUAAAGGCCUUGGGAAUGUAGCUUCUUUCGGGGAGUGUUAUAGCCCUCGGUGCAAUGCCGCCUACCUGGACCGAGGACCGCGCUUCGCUAGGAUGCUGGCGUAAUGGUUGUAAGCGAC
rnacentral:rRNA from 1 species